rnacentral:rRNA from 1 species
UGGGGAAUAUUGGACAAUGGGCGAAAGCCUGAUCCAGCCAUGCCGCGUGUGUGAAGAAGGUCUUCGGAUUGUAAAGCACUUUAAGUUGGGAGGAAGGGCAGUAAAUUAAUACUUUGCUGUUUUGACGUUACCGACAGAAUAAGCACCGGCUAACUCUGUGCCAGCAGCCGCGGUAAUACAGAGGGUGCAAGCGUUAAUCGGAAUUACUGGGCGUAAAGCGCGCGUAGGUGGUUCGUUAAGUUGGAUGUGAAAUCCCCGGGCUCAACCUGGGAACUGCAUUCAAAACUGACGAGCUAGAGUAUGGUAGAGGGUGGUGGAAUUUCCUGUGUAGCGGUGAAAUGCGUAGAUAUAGGAAGGAACACCAGUGGCGAAGGCGACCACCUGGACUGAUACUGACACUGAGGUGCGAAAGCGUGGGGGAGCAAAACAGGAUUAGAUACCC